GGGGAAUAUUGGACAAUGGGCGCAAGCCUGAUCCAGCGAUGCCGCGUGUGUGAAGAAGGCCUGCGGGUUGUAAAGCACUUUUGGCGAAGACGAGGCUUUAUGGUGUUAAUAGCAUUGUAAGGUGACGGUAUUCGCAGAAAAAGCACCGGCUAACUCUGUGCCAGCAGCCGCGGUAAUACAGAGGGUGCAAGCGUUAAUCGGAAUGACUGGGCGUAAAGAGCGCGUAGGUGGUUGAAUAAGUCAGAUGUGAAAGACCUGGGCUUAACCUGGGGGUGUCAUUUGAUACUGUUUAACUAGAGUACAGGAGAGGAAGGUAGAAUUUCCGGUGUAGCGGUGAAAUGCGUAGAGAUCGGAAGGAAUACCAGUGGCGAAGGCGGCCUUCUGGCCUGAUACUGACACUGAGGCGCGAAAGCGUGGGGAGCAAAC
rnacentral:rRNA from 1 species